rnacentral:lncRNA from 1 species
AACCCCGCCUCUCCCUCCCGCACCUCCCUCUCUCCGCCUCAACCGCAUCCGUGCGAUCCGCUUCUGUCGCACCUCCCCCUUCUGGCCGCUAUCGAAUCCGUCCCCCUCCCGUCGCCGCCCAGUCUCCCCUCCCACCGCCGCCUCCCUCCCGUCACCGACCCAAUCCGCCGUCUUGCCCGCCCAGCUCCGGCUCCGGUCUCCCCACUCUCUCUCUCAAACCCGUCGCCUGUUGAUCCCCGUCCUCCGCCGCAACCUACGCCCUCCUCCGCGCAGACACCGAUCUCCGUCGCCAGUUCAACGUCGGGCGCAUCCAUCCACGACCACGACCACGACCACGCCGCCCGCCGAUCCGGACAUCGCUGCUGUCCCUCCGCCGGCGAAGUCUGUGCGGCCUCCGCCUCAACCGGCAUCGCCGCCGCUGUCCCUCCACCGCGGAAAUCGUCACGCCUCGCCUCAACCGCCACCUAUACGGAGUCACGCCGCCGUCCCUCCGCCGCUGAAAGGACAACACCAGCGACGCCUAGCGGAUCUCCACGCCUGCUGCCCACCGGCACUGCCCACUGAACAAGUGUAAUUAGCCGUUGGAGUGCUUCUUGAAGUAGACAGAAAGCAUAAUGGAUAAAAUGGGUGAGACAUUAUUUGUUUUUCUCAACUUUGAGAGUUGACUGAGAUGUAAUUCUGGAUAACAUAGUCAUCACGUGUGAAUAUUUGAAACGAACUUCAAUUGUCUAUUUCAGACAGCACCAGAGCUCAUUCAGCUGUACAUGUCGUUGGUUGUUCAUUCCAAUAAAGUGUGCAUUGUUGAGC